GAAAUGCGAUAAGUAAUGUGAAUUGCAGAAUUCAGUGAAUCAUCGAAUCUUUGAACGCACAUUGCGCCCCCUGGUAUUCCGGGGGACAUGCCUGUUCGAGCGUCAUUUCACCACUCAAGCCUCGCUUGGUAUUGGGCAACGCGGUCCGCCGCGUGCCUCAAAUCGACCGGCUGGGUCUUCUGUCCCCUAAGCGUUGUGGAAACUAUUCGCUAAAGGGUGUUCGGGAGGCUACGCCGUAAAACAACCCCAUUUCUAAGGUUGACCUCGGAUCAGGUAGGGAUACCCGCUGAACUUAAGC
rnacentral:misc_RNA from 1 species